CAGCUACUCCUUGCUUUAGAAAAAUAUCGUUGUCUAUGCUAAACUGCAAAUGUGCAACAUUCGUACAAAAAAAAAACAAAUGCCCCAUAAGUGUCCGCCCCAGUGAAUGGUAUGGAUCUUGAGCAUAUUUUAAACUGGCCGUCGACUCCCGAGGAAGAAAACUUCCUUAAUGCCAUCCUCGAGUCUUUGACUAAGUACGCUGAGGAUGGGACUCGGUAUGUGGACGCCGAAGCUGUGAUAGCGGUUGUCCAUCGAAUUUGGGCUUGACAAGGACUUAUAUAAAGACAAAAUGCACCAAAUGCGCUAAAUUUGGCCGCAUCCUACCUGCUUUCAAUAUGUUUGCAAUCUUUUCCUUCUUAGAAUUGUUAGAUAUACAUACACUGUUUGGCUUAGCAUCUAAAUUUUAAUUUUAAUAUAUUGCAAUGUGAAAA